rnacentral:rRNA from 1 species
GAUGAACGCUAUCUACAGGCUUAACACAUGCAAGUCGAGGGGCAGCAUGGUCUUAGCUUGCUAAGACUGAUGGCGACCGGCGCGCGGGUGAGUAACACGUAUCCAACCUGCCGUCUACUCUUGGACAGCCUUCUGAAAGGAAGAUUAAUACAAGAUGGCAUCAUGAGUCCACAUGUUCACAUGAUUAAAGGUAUUCCGGUAGACGAUGGGGAUGCGUUCCAUUAGAUAGUAGGCGGGGUAACGGCCCACCUAGUCUUCGAUGGAUAGGGGUUCUGAGAGGAAGGUCCCCCACAUUGGAACUGAGACACGGUCCAAACUCCUACGGGAGGCAGCAGUGAGGAAUAUUGGUCAAUGGGCGAGAGCCUGAACCAGCCAAGUAGCGUGAAGGAUGACUGCCCUAUGGGUUGUAAACUUCUUUUAUAAAGGAAUAAAGUCGGGUAUGCAUACCCGUUUGCAUGUACUUUAUGAAUAAGGAUCGGCUAACUCCGUGCCAGCAGCCGCGGUAAUACGGAGGAUCCGAGCGGUAUCCGGAUUUAUUGGGUUUAAAGGGAGCGUAGAUGGAUGUUUAAGUCAGUUGUGAAAGUUUGCGGCUCAACCGUAAAAUUGCAGUUGAUACUGGAUAUCUUGAGUGCAGUUGAGGCAGGCGGAAUUCGUGGUGUAGCGGUGAAAUGCUUAGAUAUCACGAAGAACUCCGAUUGCGAAGGCAGCCUGCUAAGCUGCAACUGACAUUGAGGCUCGAAAGUGUGGGUAUCAAACAGGAUUAGAUACCCUGGUGGUCCACACGGUAAACGAUGAAUACUCGCUGUUUGCGAUAUACAGCAAGCGGCCAAGCGAAAGCGUUAAGUAUUCCACCUGGGGAGUACGCCGGCAACGGUGAAACUCAAAGGAAUUGACGGGGGCCCGCACAAGCGGAGGAACAUGUGGUUUAAUUCGAUGAUACGCGAGGAACCUUACCCGGGCUUAAAUUGCAGAUGAAUUACGGUGAAAGCCGUAAGCCGCAAGGCAUCUGUGAAGGUGCUGCAUGGUUGUCGUCAGCUCGUGCCGUGAGGUGUCGGCUUAAGUGCCAUAACGAGCGCAACCCUUGUUGUCAGUUACUAACAGGUCCUGCUGAGGACUCUGACAAGACUGCCAUCGUAAGAUGUGAGGAAGGUGGGGAUGACGUCAAAUCAGCACGGCCCUUACGUCCGGGGCUACACACGUGUUACAAUGGGGGGUACAGAGGGCCGCUACCACGCGAGUGGAUGCCAAUCCCCAAAACCUCUCUCAGUUCGGACUGGAGUCUGCAACCCGACUCCACGAAGCUGGAUUCGCUAGUAAUCGCGCAUCAGCCACGGCGCGGUGAAUACGUUCCCGGGCCUUGUACACACCGCCCGUCAAGCCAUGGGAGCCGGGGGUACCUGAAGUGCGUAACCGCGAGGAGCGCCCUAGGGUAAAACUGGUGACUGGGGCUAAA